UGAAAUUAAGGAAGAAAAAAAACCAACAAAGAAGAAACCACUGGGACACUACUUUGCAAAAUCCCAGAAGUAACAGAAAAUACCUGAUGGAUCCCUUCACUUCACACAGCAGUGCCGGUACAAUCCACCCCACACCCAUCACACCUAAUCUUUUCUUGGAAGCAAAUAUUGAAAGAGAAAAACCCCCAACACACAAACCAUGAAAUAAGGAAGAAAGAAAAGUGAUGCCCAAGGAACUUGGCAGAGCCCCACAUCCCCCAUGUGAGGAACUGGGCAGCUGACUUCCAGCAUCCCAGCAUUUGAGAUCUGAAGAGACCCGUGAAAAUAGUCUCUGCAGGCAACAGCCAGUUAACCCUUCUGUGUUUCCAUUGGUGACCUGCAGCUCUGGAGUGCUUCCUCCCUUCUCAAGCACCAAAACAUUGCAGGCAGUAGCAGAUUUCAAGUACAGGUCUGAGCUGAAAAAUGAUUAUGUACAAAUACACAUGACAAGGUCCUGCAAAAUUUAAGAAGAUGAAAUCAACAGCAGGCCAGGCCAAGUUAAUUGAAGCCCAUAGAGAUUAACUCUAGAAAGCAGUA